GGCGCAUUCGGAUAAUGGUUAGCCCAUCUGGCUUUGACACAGAUAGUCCUGGUUCAACUCCAGGAUGCGCUGCCA
rnacentral:tRNA from 1 species